UAAGUAGCUAAGACAGGUCCCAGAGCCUGCAUCCC
rnacentral:piRNA from 1 species